ACGUAGGCAGCAAGCGUUGUUCGGAAUUACUGGGCGUAAAGGGUGCGUAGGCGGCGCUCUAAGUUUGGUGUGAAAUCUCCCGGCUUAACUGGGAGGGUGCACUGAAAACUGGAGCGCUCGAGUAUGGGAGAGGAAAGCGGAAUUCCUGGUGUAGCGGUGAAAUGCGUAGAGAUCAGGAGGAACGCCUGCGGUGCAGACAGCUUUCUGGACCAUGACUGACGCUGAGGCACGAAAGCGUGGGUAGCAAACAG
rnacentral:rRNA from 1 species